CUCUUCUUGUUUGCAUUUGGGAGAGAGAAGCAGCAGCAACCCUAAGAGGUUAUUUUGUGUAUGGCUGCUACAGGCUGAACAGGGUCACCUUUUUGUUUAUCUGGAUGAUGUCAUCAAGCAGCAUCCACCCGAGGAAUUUCUGAAACCAGUGUAGGGGGAAGGUGAUUGAUCUUGAAUCUCUGCUUGAGCCAGAAAGACCUAUAAAAGGAGCAACAAGUAAAGAUUAUUCUCCUUGAGAAGCCUUGAGAGGAUGAUAAACCAGAAGGACAAACAGGGAUAGAUAAAUCCCACGAGUAAGGAGAAUAUUCUCAAAAGUAUACCACACUUGUGUCUGUGUACACGUGUGCACACACACAGAACUGUGAACAUAAGCAAAGAAGGAAGAAGUCAAAUAAAUGAACAAUUAAUUUCUCUCCUUUUCAGUGUGCAGUCUGCUGCACCACACCCACAAAGAAGGAAUAAGCUCUUUACAUCAGUCACUAAAAUGCAGGCAUAUACUUGGAAUUAGUGUCUCAUUGCUUUUUCUAAAAUGGCCUUUUUUCCCCAUUUCCAGAACUAUAUAUUUUUGUCAGUUUAAUAGUUGCACUUCUUAUUGAAA